rnacentral:rRNA from 1 species
UACGGGGGGGGCAAGCGUUGUUCGGAAUUACUGGGCGUAAAGGGCUCGUAGGCGGCCAGCUAAGUCAGACGUGAAAUCCCUCGGCUCAACCGGGGAACUGCGUCUGAUACUGGAUGGCUUGAGUUCGGGAGAGGGAUGCGGAAUUCCAGGUGUGGCGGUGAAAUGCGUAGAUAUCUGGAGGAACACCGGUGGCGAAGGCGGCAUCCUGGACCGAUACUGACGCUGAGGAGCGAAAGCCAGGGGAGCAAACGGG